AGUGAACGCUGGCGGCGUGCUUAACACAUGCAAGUCGAACGAGAACGGAUUAUAGCUUGCUAUAAUUGUCAGCUAAGUGGCGCACGGGUGAGUAAUAUAUAGAUAACCUGCCCUCUAGAAAGGAAUAACAGUUGGAAACGACUGCUAAUGCCCUAUAUGCCUUUAAUACAUAAGUAUGCAAGGGAAACGCUUUAGUGCUAGAGGAUGGGUCUGUAUGGUAUCAGCUUGUUGGUGAGGUAAUGGCUCACCAAGGCUAUGACGCCUAACUGGUUUGAGAGGAUGAUCAGUCACACUGGAACUGAGACACGGUCCAGACUCCUACGGGAGGCAGCAGUGGGGAAUAUUGCACAAUGGACGAAAGUCUGAUGCAGCAACGCCGCGUGGAGGAUGACACAUUUCGGUGCGUAAACUCCUUUUAUAUAGGAAGAUAAUGACGGUACUAUAUGAAUAAGCACCGGCUAACUCCG
rnacentral:rRNA from 1 species